rnacentral:rRNA from 1 species
AACGAACGCUGGCGGCAUGCCUAACACAUGCCAGUCGAACGAGACCUUCGGGUCUAGUGGCGCACGGGUGCGUAACGCGUGGGAACCUGCCCUUAGGUUCGGAAUAACUCCCCGAAAGGGGUGCUAAUACCGGAUAAUGUCUUCGGACCAAAGAUUUAUCGCCUUUGGAUGGGCCCGCGUUGGAUUAGCUAGUUGGUAGGGUAAAAGCCUACCAAGGCGACGAUCCAUAGCUGGUCUGAGAGGAUGAUCAGCCACACUGGGACUGAGACACGGCCCAGACCCCUACGGGAGGGCGGAGGUGGGGAUAUUGGGGCAAGGGGGAAAGGCUUAUCCCGCAAAGGCGCGGUAGUGAAGAAGGGCUUUGGGGUGUAAAGCCCCUUUUACCGGGGUGAUAAAGACCGUACCGGGAGAAUAAGCCCCGGCUAACUUCGUG